CACGGGGGGAGCAAGCGUUGUUCGGAAUCACUGGGCGUAAAGGGAGUCUAGGCUGUCAGGUAAGUGAGAUGUGAAAUCCCUCGGCUUACCCGAGGACCUGCAUUUCAUACUGCUUGGCUUGAGUACGGGAGAGGAUGUGGGAAUUCCUGGUGUAGCGGUGAAAUGCGUAGAUAUCAGGAGGAACACCGGUGGCGAAGGCGCACAUCUGGCCCGAUACUGACGCUGAAGCUCGAAAGCUAGGGGAGCAAACGGG
rnacentral:rRNA from 1 species